rnacentral:lncRNA from 1 species
GUUUCUUCCUACAAAUUAGUGGCAUCCUCCCGCUGUAUGGAUUCAGCUGGCAAAGUGCUGGUCUACGCGGGCCUGGACAGUCAGGGGUAGGAGCGGGAGCCGAGAGGAGGCGGAGGAGAUGGCGUCCCAGCCGCCACCUCCCCCCAAACCCUGGGAGACCCGCCGAAUUCCGGGAGCCGGACCGGGACCAGGACCGGGCCCCACUUUCCACGUAGACUUUGGUCUGUAGCAGUUGAGAGCGGCAUUUGUCCAGCCACGGCAUCGACAGGGAGCAAAGUCUCUCCUUAAAGGUGUUAACCUCUCGAGAAGUUGCUGAAAGCCGGAAAGGUUUUACGCAACAGGAACUCAAGCCCCGUACACUUUGCAUUCUUUUCCAGCAUAACUCAGCCAGUGUUUCGGAUCGAGAUUGGAGAAGCAACUUUAAAGCAGGAGUUCUAGAUCUGAGGCCUAUGGAUGGACUUUGUGUGCAAAAUAGUGUAUUUUUCUGAGGCCUGUAUUUUUUUUUUGUUUGGUUUUUAAUCAGUAUCAGUUGGUUUCUAGGACUUUAAAAAGGCUAAAACAUGCAGAGUUGGGAGUGUUUCGUGGCCUCGUGUGGCUUUUGUUUGGUAGUGCUGGACAUCUUAAUUCAGAUAGGUGUGAUUCAAAUGUCAAAUCACCUACUAUUGUAGGUUUUCCUAAGCGUAAAAACCCCAACAUAUUGGAAUGUAUUUCUGCUGUAUUCUGAAAUCUUUUAUUUAAACACUAAAAUGCUUUAACACAGUAACGACUUAGUUUAAUAAGGAUAUAUACAUAACAAGUAAUAAGUUUGAUUAGGCUGGUAAGCCACGGUGACAUUAUCUGCUACCUUUUUUUUGAGUGGGUUCUUUUUUCCCCAUUUAGGCUGCUUGUCGAAUGAGAGAGGUUUUAUUUUUUGCAUCUGUUAAAGUUCUUUUUAUGUAAAAUUAACCAUUUUCCCACUUUAUCGUGAAAUAUUUUAAACACAGAGACCAGUAGAGAGUAAGAUAAUACCUAUAUAUUCACUACUCAACUUUAAACAGUGUUAACAUUUGCCAGACUUAUGUCGAAUUUUUCAAAAUAAAAGACGGCUAAACUCUCCCAUUCUUCUUUA